GGUGUAGUAAAUGAAAUGGGAAGAGAUGGGCUACACUCUCUAAAAUAGAAUAUACGAAAGACUAUUUAUGAAACUUAGUCGGAAGGCGGAUUUAGAAGUAAACGGGGAUCAUGAAGCCCCUUUUAAUACGGCACUGGGGUGCGUACACACCGCCCGUCACCCUCUUCAAAGCCACUAGACAGUAUUUAACACAAAUCAGCUUAUUAGAAGAGGUAAGUCGUAACAUGGUAAGUGUACCGGAAGGUGCACUUGGAAA
rnacentral:rRNA from 1 species